UGUAACGCCUGGACGGUCCACCACACUUUAGCGAUUAACCUUGUUGAGUACAGUUAGUGUGGGUUCAGUGAAAUUAUGAUGAAUAUCAGGAUGAUAUUUUUCUUUAUUACUGUGCUUUCUACAAGUAGGUACACUCUAAUAAUCUGACAUACUCAUUACAGAGUAUGGGAUUGAUUGAAGCUCAAUUUUAAAUUCAAAUCUCCCUACCAUCAUAUCUAAGAUAGUAUGACAACCGGGGCGUGUAUUCAUUGAUGCCAAUGGUAGCUAGAAUUCUUUUUUUUAUGUAAAACGUUUUUAGUUUUUAUUAACCUUUAUUUAAACAGGUGAACAAGCUGAGACAGUCUCUUUUACAGUUGUGCCCUAUGAUACAAAAAAAAACACAGUAAUCAAUAAGAAUUUAAAACCAAACAAAAUAAUAUAAAAAGUACAAGAUGGGGAUUAAAGCUAUUAAAAUAAAUAAACUUCUAUAAGAAAAACACACAUUACAAAUAGCAAUCACAGUUUAUAAUAAAAAGUUCAUGUAAUGUGCAUCUAAACUGUUUCACAGGCACCAAAACAUCUAACUGGAGUUCUUUCGGCGAUUCAUUCCAUGACUGGUGGAGCAUGAUAUUCAAGAACCGUUUUGCCCAACUCAGAGUGAAUACGGGGUAUCUCUAGCACUAGCAUGUCAUGUGACUGCGAUUAUAACGGUGAUUCUGAUCCAACCAUUAAUUCAUACAUUGUUGUGUCCCUGGCCCGAUAGGAUGGAAGUUCAAUAUGUAGCUAGAUGUAGAAGGCUAACGUUAACUAGCUAACGUUGCCCAUGAAAGGAAGUUAGGCUAGCGGGCAAGCAUUUUAGCCAGGUAACCUAGGAAAACAAAAAAUAAAAGCGUGCCCUGUAUGACAUACUUAUAGACUUUUUUGUCAACAUGAAAGAAAGGAGGAUGGCAUUGGCGUUUCUCUACUAGUAGGAAUAAAGAGUGAAGACAUCAAAACUAUAAAAUAAUACGUAACCGCCGGACCCAACCCCCCACUGAACCGCCUUCGGCCCGCGGACUGACACCACCCGGACGCAGCCCCUUGCGCGACCACGCACGAGAGACCGCGAGAUGGGCCGCACAACGAACUUCCAACGGUUCCGAGAGGAGGGCGACGGAGCGACUGCUCCCCCAGCCGCGGCUCGAGCCCAGCCCAUGAAAAUGGACAAACUGAAGGGUGCGCAAUGUAAAUGCCCACUGAGUUGACAUUCUGAACCUUGUUUGAGUCCAGUAGGUCACAUGACCAAGGAGCUAUUGAAAUUAGAAAAUUAGAAACAUUUAUGUAAAAACGUGUGAGAUGAAAUUUUACUAACUAAAGGGUAUGCAAUGUGUAGGCCCACUCAGUGUACAUUCUGAACCUUGUUUGAAGUCAGUAGGUCACAUGACCAAGGAGCUGUUGAAAUUAGAAAGUUACAUUUUUAAAUGUAAAAAUGUGUGAGAUGAAAAUGGACAAACCAAAGGGUGUGCAAUGUGUAGGCCCACUCAGUGUACAUUCUGAACCUUGUUUGAGUCCAGUAGGUCACAUGACAAAGGAGCUAUUGAAAUUAGAACGUCAAAAAUGUUUAUGUAAAAACGUGUGAUGAAAAUGGACAAACCAAAGGGUGUGCAAUAUAGAAGGGUAGUCGGUGGACAUUCUGAACCUUGGUUGAAGUCAGUAGGUCACAUGACCAAGGAGUUAUUGAAAUUAGAAAGUUAGAAAAAUUACUGUAAAAUCGAGUGAGAUGGAAAUGGACAAACCAAAGGGUGUGCAAUAUAGAAGGGUAGUCAGUGGACAUUCUGAACCUUGGUUGAAGUCAGUUGGUCACAUCACCAAUGAGCUAUUGAAAUUCGAAUGUAAAAAAAGUUUGUACUUUGUUUACGCUCCCUAACUAAUUCAACUAGGAAUACAAAAUGCUGCUCACAUU